AGUAACGCGUGAGGAACCUGCCUUUCAGAGGGGGACAACAGUUGGAAACGACUGCUAAUACCGCAUAACACAUAGGUGUCGCAUGGCAUUUAUGUCAAAGAUUUAUCGCUGAAAGAUGGCCUCGCGUCUGAUUAGCUAGUUGGUAGGGUAACGGCCUACCAAGGCGACGAUCAGUAGCCGGCCUGAGAGGGUGAACGGCCACAUUGGGACUGAGACACGGCCCAAACUCCUACGGAAGGCAGCAG
rnacentral:rRNA from 1 species